GCCAGGUGUGGUGGCGCGCACCUGUAGUCCCAGCUACUUGGGAGGCUGAGGCAGGAGAGUUGCUUGAACCUAGGAGGCAGAGGUUGCAGUGAGCCAAGAUUGUGCCACUGCAGUCCAGCCUGGGCAACAGAGUGAGACUCUGUCUCAA
rnacentral:sRNA from 1 species